GAUGAAGAACGUAGCGAAAUGCGAUAAGUAAUGUGAAUUGCAGAAUUUAGUGAAUCAUCGAAUCUUUGAACGCAUAUUGCGCCCGCCAGCACUCUGGCGGGCAUGCCUGUUCGAGCGUCAUUUCAACCCUCAGGCCUCGUGUCUGGCGUUGGGGCGCUGCGGCCCCCGCAGGCCCCCAAAUCUAGCGGCGGACCCACCCGGCCCUGAGCGCAGUAGUUUGACUUAAACGCUCCGGCGGCCGUGGCGUGGUUUGCUUGGUGCAGAAAAUACCCAGUUCGUCUGGCGUACUACCAGUUGACCUCGGAUCAGGUAGGACUACCCGCUGAACUUAAGCAUAUCAAUAAGCGGAGGA
rnacentral:misc_RNA from 1 species